GGUUAGUGGCAGGGUUUGAGUCUGCAUCUUUUUGAUUAAGAGUCAAAAGCUUUGCAAUUAAGCUACACUAAC
rnacentral:tRNA from 1 species